ACUCCUAAAGUUUUAUCUCAAACUGUCUCAGGAACUCUCACCAGCAGGUAAUAAACAGACUUGGAAAAAUGUCACUGGCCACAUUAAACAUCCCCAGUCUGGACAUGGAGGGCAAUCUUAUGUACAGCUCAGUGUAAUGGGAACAGCUCUAGGUUCUAAAAGCUCCGCUGGCUCUGAUGUCCUGUGAACGCCACAACAUGAAAAGAGAAGCGAAGGAGAGUUCUCUAAUAAACAGAAAUUUGUGCACGAUUGGUAUGUGUGUGGAAUACAGCAGAGGCUUAAUAAGGAUCUGACAAAGGCAUGAAACUCUAAUAAUGAUCAUCCUUUUUUUCUUAUCCUCUGUUUCUAAGCACAGCACAUACCUGACCUGUUAAAUCAACUGGCUGACUAGGGGCCAUUUUGUCAGUGAAAAAUAAUAAAAUAAAAUAAAAACAUUAAUGAAGAAAUAAACCUAGAAAAGAACUGAUGUCACUGAGAUUUAGUGGCCAGAAAAACAGCUGCCUGCUAGUGGACCAACAAGCAUCAGCAAAGGUAGAAAUGCUUUUCCUGGGGCCUUGGAGGCACCUCAGGGUUUCACUUGUUAUUCUCACUUCCAAGUGACUCAUACCCCAAAUAUAUGAAGGACUCAGAAAUUGUGCCUUGUGAGGAUAGUGUUCUGAGGACAAAUGGUUAACCACCCCCCUGCAUGAGAAACCGACUAGGUGGGCUGGAGAGAGCCUACUGGGGACUGGAACCAGUGACUGACCUCACCAGAAGCAGAAGGGGCACCUGCCAUUUCUCAAGAAAGCUGUGACCUAAAAAGUUUAGUCAUCAGUCCAAAUUCCUCCAGGAGACCAUUAGAAACUGCCUCUCUGUUUCCCUGAGUCUUGUAGCUAGAGAUGUAACAGGUCAUUUUGGGGACUUCAUUGCCGUGGCCCCUGCUGGGUCAUCUGCUGCGAACAUGGCAUAUCGUUUUCACUCACUGCCAAACACUUAGUGCAGUGAACCUUGGAGGAGCUCCCUGGGCACACAGGGAAAGGACGCUGAAAACAGGUCAGUCAUGUUUUAUGAAUCAGGCCUGAGAAAAGGUAAGCACACCUCCAACCACAGGCGGCACAAUCAAUCUGCUGAUCUUUUUUUAAAAAGUUAGGAGAGUAAGCAAUAAAUCAGCACUGAGGGGGUAGAUCCUCUGCCAUCGAACUGUCUUGAGAUGCAAUUUUAAAUGACUUUGUAGUGACCUUGCUUACCUAAUUACAGGGCUCAAAAGAGAUUUUCCUUACAUAUUCCAUGCGGUGGUGACCGGCUUGGAACAACGUCGUGUUUGUCUCAGAUGGCCACUUCUAACAUGAAAGGCCUGUCUGAUGACUGUCCUCUUCUUUGCAAAUGGACAGACUUGGGAUCUGGAUCUGCGGUACUAAUCAUCUAGAACUGAGAGAGCCAUCCGGGCCAGGAACAUAUGGCUCAGCUAACACCAGGCCACAGACAUGGAAAUAAGCCUGGCUUUGGUGCCAUUCAGAGUAAACAUUAAGUGUCCUCAUGGCAAAUUUGUUCCAAUGGCUGAGAGAAAGGCACCCUGAUGACUUGCAGAGUCAUUAAAAAAAAUGCUGGUGCAGAAUUUGAGUGGCAUUUUGUGGCUCAAGCUGCACAAGGGUCAAUUGUGGGACUGAGAAGAAAAGAGAGGAUUAGCCCCAAGUAAACAACUCAGUGAUAUUCACCAUAAAGUAUGUCUUAGGUGAUUUUCCCACUGUUUAUCUACUCAGACCAUUCUAGAAGUUCCAAAUCUGGAUGAUAAUAAUCCUUGUAAGUGAUCAUCUUGGAUUGUAUUUUAUUCACAGUGACACUGGCUUUGGGAUAGAGCCAAAAUUCUGUUUGUUGAGGACUCACGGUGCAGAGUAAAGUAGAUGUAUAUAGGUUUAGAGGGCAGAUUUGAGUUUGAAUUCUUGCUCUGCUACUUAGAAGAUAUGUACGUUGGUCAAGUAACUAAACCUGUUUCUUAAUCCAAAAGAAACAUUUUGCAGAUAAUAAUACUCACCUUGCAGGACUGACAUAAAGAUAAGCACAGGGAAAUAUCCCCACCCUGGUACCUGAUGGAGUGUGAAUCCAAAACCAAAUAUUUAGACUUUCUUCUUCAAAAAGAAAAAACUUAGAUUUUUUUUUAAUUCAUUGCAAAUUGGAUAGCAUCUUUCUGAAAUAUUCUAUGUCCCACUGAUUUCAUUUCCUUAAUCACUCUGAUCCAGUGCUACUGAAUAGAAAGAAAUGUUCUGUACUGUUUAACGUGGUAGCCACCAGCAACACUGGGCUAUUAGCACUUGAAAUGCAGCUAAUGUGAUCCAGGAACUAAAAUUUUAAUUAAUUUAACUUUAGAUAGCUUCAUGUGGUACAUGGUUCCCAUACUGGACAGCACAUCAUAGCUGAGUCCUGAUAGAUAAAGAAUGAAGGCUUUAGAAAUGGAGGCACAGCAAAGGUGAUGAAAUCAUCCACAGGCUCUCCUCACAUCAGCAGCAGCUACUGAAAGCAGGCAGACUGGCUCAGCCUCGCUCACAUUCACUCUAGGGGCUGACAAUUAUGACAGAAAUAGCACCAGGCAGUGGCUCUCUCUGCCAGAGGCAAGUUCUGUGACCUUGGACAUAAUUCCUAAUUUUUCUGAACCUGUUUUCUCAUCUGCAAAAUGGGGUGGGGAUAACAGUACCAAGCCCAAAUGAUGGUGGUUUUAAUUGAGAUGAAUGCUCAUUUGCUGGCUAAUGCUUAUUGAAUGCUGGCCAUGUGUUUAAAUGAUGGGAAGCCUUCUUAAAGGACUGUGGGGCCCUCACUAGGGGGAGAGGCUGGUUGGAAGGCCUCCAUGUGAAUGAGAGAGAAUGAGAUGAUGGUGCUGCUGAGGUCGCCAGCACUCUAAAGGCCUGAGCUCUCUGCCAGCCCCCUCCCACCUCACUCCCUCAGGCCCUCCCCUGCCUGUCUGCACCCUUCCCCACCACCCCCAUUAAAGGGAAGCUGCCCAGAAGUGAGACUUUGGAGAGGUGUUUGAACACACUGGUAGAAAUUCCAUAGACACGUAGGUGAUUUAGAGAGAACAAGUUGCUCUUUAAAAAAUACAACACAUCUCAGCUACUCAGCAAGCCCAGCGUUGCAAGAAAAAGGAAGGGACAACUAGCAUUAAGACUCAGGGGAAAGCCCUCCUUGCUUUCAAGUACUUGCUUGAAGCCAAGCAGUACUGCCUCUUGGGAACCAAAUCAUCAGGCUUCUUGCCAAAGGCUAGGUCAGUAUGCUACUUUUACCCAAGAAAGUACAAAGGAUCUAGGCAGCCCCAGAAAAUGUCUUACCUUCUCCUCCCCUAAACUUUUUUUUUUUUUUUUUGAGACGAAGUCUUGCUCUGUUGCCCAGGCUGNNNNNNNNNNNNNNNNNNNNNNNNNNNNNNNNNNNNNNNNNNNNNNNNNNNNNNNNNNNNNNNNNNNNNNNNNNNNNNNNNNNNNNNNNNNNNNNNNNNNNNNNNNNNNNNNNNNNNNNNNNNNNNNNNNNNNNNNNNNNNNNNNNNNNNNNNNNNNNNNNNNNNNNNNNNNNNNNNNNNNNNNNNNNNNNNNNNNNNNNNNNNNNNNNNNNNGGAUUACAGGCAUGAGCCACUGCGCCCAGUUUCUCCUCCCCUAAAACCCACUGGAGGCUUCCACUGCUCUUAGGGUUAAGUCCAAACUUCCCGCUACCGUGACCGAGCUCUCACCCACCUUUCUCCAAACUUACUUCUUUUCUCCCCCUGCCCUGAGUAAGUUCGACCCUCUAGGAAGUCUGAACUUCUAUCAGUUCCACAAAAGAGCCCUGCUUCCUCUUAUCUCCAUACUUGGAGGCCUUUGUACCUACUGUGUCCUGAAGUGACUUCCCUUCUCCCAUCUCCCCACUUGUGCCCACCCGAACGCUCCCCGCCCCCUGGCCCCCGCUGGCUCCUACUCUCUUCCAAGCUCACAAUAGACAACCCUGCCCUUAAGGAGGCUCCCUUAGCCACUACCCUUCACACUCACACCACCACAGAAACAUAUCAGGGAUGCAUGCUGCUCCAGGGGACUCCUGCGGCACCCCGACUUCCUUUUGGUGGGUAUUUACCACCCUGCUCUUAACUUUUUCCUUUUCCUUUUUUUUUUUUUUAUUGUUGUUGUUGUUGUUGUUGUUUAGAGAUGGGGGUCUCACUGUGUUGCUCAGGCUGGAGUGCACUGGCUGUUAAUAGGUGCGAUCAUAGCUCACUGUAGCCUCAAAUUCCUGGGCUGAAAAGAUCCUCCCACCUCAGCUUCCCCAGUAGCUGAAACUACAGAUAUGCACCAUGACCACCUUACAUUGAAAUUCACCCCUUUCUUUCUUUUUUUUUUUUUUUUUGAGAUGGAGUCUUGCUCUGUCGCCAGGCUGGAGUACAGUGGCGUGAUCUCAGCUCACUGCAACCUCCACCUCCUUUGUUCAAGCGAUUCUCCUGCCUCAGCCUCCCGAGUAGCUGGGACUACAGGCAUGUGCCACCACACCCAGCUAAUUUUUGUAUUUUUAGUAGAGACAGGGUUUCACCAUGUUGGCCAAGAUGGUCUCGAUCUCUUGACCUUGUGAUCCACCUGCCUCGGCCUCCCAAACUGUUGGGAUUACAGGCGUGAGCCACCACGCCUGGCCUCACCCCUUUCUUUUAUGUCUCCCUCACUACUCUGUGGGCUCUGGGAGAAUGUCUGAGCUCACUGCCGUGUCCCUAGUACCCAACCCAUUUUCUGCAGAUUAAGGGUGCUCAGAAGGAUUUGAGGAAAAAAUACAGUCAGGAAUGAGGCUUCCCUCUCUGUGGAACACUCAGCAUCAUGCCAGGAACCCAGCUUCCCAAAUGGCCCCAGGGAGCCUCAGUGGGGUGCCGUCUACAAAACAGCUGACCCUCAGUAUUUCCCACUUUUCUCAACCCAGGUCAAGGCUGUCCCUUCCAGAAACCACUCUACUUGACCUUAAUAGCCUGUGGCCUCUUGCUACAGAAUCACGUAGUGGCUAAGAGCAUGACCCCUGGAGCACAAGGCCCUGCUGGACUAUUCACUACUGUGGUGGCUUGGCAAAGUCACUAAACUUCUUUGUGCCUCAGCUUUCUAAAAUGAGGCUCACUGGGAACAUGAGGAUCAUAUAAAAUAGCACAGCCUCGUCCACAGUCACCACCAAGUGAUGCUGGUUAUGAUUGUGCCUCUUUGCUCCUGUGACAGCUUUUUUCAGCAGUUCAUCAGCUCUUUUGUAGGGGAGUUAAACACGACUAGACUAACUGGUUAUUCCCCUCCUGGACUUUCCUUGAUCUUUUCAGUGUUUUUGUGGUAUUUCUGAUAGAUGGCAUUAACCCUACAGAUCAAGAUGCAGCCUCAUUUGUGUUUUUGGUUUCUGUGGUUUCCUUGGCACACAGAGAGGGAGAAACAAACCGUUUGACUGAUUGGGCAUCUGGGUGGUCUCUUACUUCUGAAGGCCAAUGCCUGAUAUGGUAUGGUGUACACCACUCAUGCUCCAAACUUGAGGGUAGGAGAGGGCACCGUGGUCCCCAGAGCCAUGUGUUCUUGCAAGGCGGCCACCAUGCAGAGGAAGGGGUACCUUCCUCUGCAACAGAUGCAAGCAAACAUGGUGGUAACACCAUAGCACAUGGCUGAGGGUCCAGAAAACCCCUCCAUUUGGCUCUGGGAAAGCCUAUUAGAAGCCAUCAUUCUAGGUGUCUCAAAAUGUUGCCUUCUAAGUCAAAUCCACUCAAAUCAAAUUAAUUUCCUUUCUCUACAUCUUUCCGCCUCACACUUCAACUCUAACUAAUGUAAUACUCAGUGUUUUUGAGUUUAUCCAGUUCUCAUCAUCUUACUAUUACCACCUUGCCAUCACCAAUGUGCUACCUGGACGACUGUUACAGCCUCCCCACUGGUUCAUCCUGCUUCCACUUUUGCCCCAUCCAGUCCAUUUUCUCAGAAAAACCAGAAAAAUCAUUUUAAAAUGCAAACGUGUUAAUAUACCUCUCUCCUACACACACAUGCAGGCAUGCAUGCACACACACACACACACCCUUCGUAAACCUCUUGAAGUCAUUCUGUUUUCAAAAAUCAACCAAAAGACUUAAUGUGGCCUUCAGGACCAAUAUCAUCACUCCUGCCCAGCUCUUCAAGACCAACUGUGGCCUGCUCUCUGGAUUCCAUCCAAGCUGACCUUUCUUUAGCUGUUACAAAGGCCAAAUACCUUUCUUGCAUCAGAGCCAGUGUGCACAAUGUUCGUUUGCCUGGAACACCCUCUUUUCAUGCCCAUCCCAUCACCUCAAUCACACCCACCAUCCCUCCGAAAUGCAAACAUCACUUCUUCAUAAGGCACUUCCCUUACCCACAAUGUAAAUUAGGACUCAUUAUUCUCCCACCGGCCUCUAUUUUUUGGUCACAACAUUUAGCACGUUUUAUAAAUCCAUGUUUACUUGGAUGUUUGUUCACUUAAUAUCAGCCUUUCCUACCCAUCACUAAGUUCCAAAAUAGACAGGACCUUGGCUGUUUGGUACACCAGUUGUAUCUCAAGGUGAAGACAGUUCUAGAUAUAUGGUGAACUCCUAAUCGAUGAUUUGCUGGGUUUUAUCACUUUACUUACAGUCAAUUCCAGGCAGGCUAUAUCUGUAUCUUGGUAAUAGGAGGAAAUAUUUUUCAGUUUUUUCACCACCAAGAGCUUCUUUGCGGCUCUCCCUCUCCCCACUGACUUGGUGUAUUGAAAGAUAGUGGGUAACAACUCUACACAUUAAGUCAUAAUUAGCUUAUUUUAUCAUUUUGUUCAUCCAAAGCAUGUAAUACUGCUAAUCAAAGCUUUUAAUUAGAAGUAGUGCAUGAA
rnacentral:lncRNA from 1 species